rnacentral:rRNA from 1 species
UACGGAGGGUGCAAGCGUUAUCCGGAUUCACUGGGUUUAAAGGGUGCGUAGGCGGCCACUGCAAGUCAGUUGUGAAAUCUCCGGGCUUAACUCGGAAAGGUCAACUGAUACUGCAGGGCUAGAGUGCGGGAAGGGGCAACUGGAAUUCUCGGUGUAGCGGUGAAAUGCGUAGAUAUCGAGAGGAACACCUGCGGCGAAGGCGGGUUGCUGGGCCGACACUGACGCUGAAGCGCGAAAGCCAGGGGAGCGAACGGG